rnacentral:rRNA from 1 species
CGGGGGGGGCAAGCGUUGUUCGGAAUUACUGGGCGUAAAGGGCGCGUAGGCGGCCUGCUAAGUCGGACGUGAAAUCCCUCGGCUCAACCGAGGAACUGCGUCCGAUACUGGUGGGCUUGAAUCCGGGAGAGGGAUGUGGAAUUCCAGGUGUAGCGGUGAAAUGCGUAGAUAUCUGGAGGAACACCGGUGGCGAAGGCGGCAUCCUGGACCGGUAUUGACGCUGAGGCGCGAAAGCUAGGGGAGCAAACGGGAUUAGAUACCCCGGUAGUCCUAGCCCUAAACGAUGAAUGCUUGGUGUGGCGGGUAUCGAUCCCUGCCGUGCCGAAGCUAACGCAUUAAGCAUUCCGCCUGGGGAGUACGGUCGCAAGGCUG